GAAAUGCGAUAAGUAGUGUGAAUUGCAGAAUUCAGUGAAUCAUCGAAUCUUUGAACGCACAUUGCGCCCCUUGGUAUUCCAUGGGGCAUGCCUGUUCGAGCGUCAUUUGUACCCUCAAGCUCUGCUUGGUGUUGGGUGUUUGUCCCGUCUCCGCGCGUGGACUCGCCCCAAAGUGAUUGGCAGCCGGCGUACUGGUCCCGGAGCGCAGCACAUGUCGCGCAAACGAGUGCCUUGGUACGGCGGCGUCCAUAAGCCCCUCUCUCACGCUCUUGACCUCGGAUCAGGUAGGAAUACCCGCUGAACUUAAGC
rnacentral:misc_RNA from 1 species